GCGAAAACUUUACAAUGCUGGCAACAGCGAUAAGGGAACCCCGAGUGCCAGGUUACAAAUCUGGCUGUCGAGAUGCCUAAAAAGCAUUUCAUAGCAGGGGCCGGGCAAGACCGGUGCCAGCCGCCGCGGUAACACCGGCGGCUCGAGUGGUAACCGUCAUUAUUGGGUCUAAAGGGUCUGUAGCCGGCCGGAUAAGUCUCUUGAGAAAUCUGGCAGCUUAACUGUCAGGCUUUCAGGAGAUACUGUCUGGCUCGAGGCCGGGAGAGGUGAGAGGUACUUCAGGGGUAGGGGUGAAAUCUUGUAAUCCUUGAAGGACCACCAGUGGCGAAGGCGUCUCACCAGAACGGACCUGACGGCAAGGGACGAAAGCUAGGGGCACGAACC
rnacentral:rRNA from 1 species